rnacentral:rRNA from 1 species
CAAUAGCGUAUAUUUAAGUUGCUGCAGUUAAAAAGCUCGUAGUUUGAUUUCGGGUGGGAAUGGCCGGUCCGCCGUUUCGGUGUGCACUUGCUACGCCCACCCUGCUGCCGGGGACGUGCUCUUGAGUUCACGCUCGGGACACGGAGUCGGCGAGGUUACUUUGAGUAAAUUAGAGUGUUCAAAGCAGGCCUACGCUCUGAAUACAUUAGCAUGGAAUAACACGAUAGGACUCUGGCCUAUCUUGUUGGUCUGUAGGACCGGAGUAAUGAUUAAGAGGGACAGUCGGGGGCAUUCGUAUUUCAUUGUCAGAGGUGAAAUUCUUGGAUUUAUGAAAGACGAACUACUGCGAAAGCAUUUGCCAAGGAUGUUUUCAUUAA